GAGCCAUUAGCUCAGUCGGUAGAGCAUCUGACUUUUAAUCAGAGGGUCGAAGGUUCGAGUCCUUCAUGGCUCACCA
rnacentral:tRNA from 145 species